UACGUAGGUGGCAAGCGUUGUCCGGAUUUAUUGGGUUUAAAGGGCGCGUAGGCGGUCCUAUAAGUCAGUUGUGAAAUACGGCAGCUUAACUGUCGAGGUGCAAUUGAUACUGCAGGACUUGAGUACAGACGAGGUAGGCGGAAUUGACGGUGUAGCGGUGAAAUGCUUAGAUAUCGUCAAGAACACCGAUAGCGAAGGCAGCUUACUAGGCUAUAACUGACGCUGAGGCACGAAAGCGUGGGGAUCAAACAGG
rnacentral:rRNA from 1 species